UCUGGGCAUGGUGGUGCAUGCUUAUAAUUCCAGCUAUUCUGGAGGCUGAGGCAGGAGGAUUGCAAGUUCCAGGCCAGCCUGGGCAACUUAGCGAGACCCCGUCUCAA
rnacentral:sRNA from 1 species